AUCGGCAGGCGGACUCUCAACCACUGCGCCACCAGGGAAGCCCCAUCCCAUAUUCUUAAUUCACCAGGCUCAUGGGACACCUGAGAAAGGUGGACAGAUAUUUGUAUCUUCAGGGUUUUCUAUUUCACUGAGAUGGGGGGUUUGCAGUGUCCCUGGCUCCCUGGACCAAGCCGGCGGCCCCCAGAAACCUUUGCUCUGCAAGAGGGGUGAUGGGGUCUCCACAGGCUCUGCUCUUACCCCUCCCCUGGGGCCUCAUUCUCCAAGUGAGAGGCCCAGGGGUGAGAUCAGGGGCAGACCCCAUGGCUGCUCUCCUCAGGGCAGGAUGAAAGGAUUAGACUAGUGGAGAUUUCACCCCCACCAGAACUUUUAGACUAUGCGGAUGUUGGGCCCUCCCCAGAAGGACUGGAUCUGAGGCCCUGUGGGUGGGUUGGCACAAGUAUGCUUUACAAGCUCCCCAGGAGAACGGGGGCAGUCUAGUGGGCCAGGUGAAUGCACAUUCCAACAACAGGACCUUAAAUCAGCAUCAGCAUCCCUGGGAACUUGUUAGAAAAUUAAAUUAUGGGCUUCCUCCCCACCCCCACCCCAGGGGGGCUGAACUGGAAGCUCUGGGGGUGGGUCCUUAAGUCCAUUUUAUAGGCCCUGCAGGUCACUUCUGUGCAAAACCAAGCUUGAGAACCACUGCCUAAGACCAACUGUGUGUUAAAAGGCCAAUGUGUGAGGUUGAAAUAUGUUUGUGGGAGGGCAGGGGGAGGGUGGAGUUCAGGCCUAGAGUUCCUGGGGCCUGGGGAGUUCCUGGGAUGCAGGACUUUCAGUGCUAAAACCAAGAGAGUCCUGGAAAAAUCUAGACAAAUCUGAUAAGACCCUUUUCCUUAUUCAUUCAACAGAUAUCAAGUACCUACUAUGAGCCAGGCCCCGGGUAUGCAGUGGUGAAUGAGCCAGGUGUGGUACCAGACCUUGGGGUUUCUGCAGCCAGUAGAGAAGAAUGCCACUCGAGAGCUUUUUGAGGCUCAAAACCAAGACCAGGCUGCUACCUGCCCUGAGCAGGAGCCCACUGAGCUCCCAGGCUGGCUGGGCACACGGGACACCUCUGUGGAACUCCCAGGAUCCUGGGGACUCAGCUUCGGAAGCACCCCAGUAUUCCAGUAUUCCAGAGAACCAGAGGAUUCCAGUGGGCAGAAAGGGCGUGGAGUUGAAACCAGAGUAGCCCUGAGUUGAUGAUUCUUGAGCUGCGCUUGGGGAUCUGAGAAUUCUUGAUACUACUCUCCUGCUACAGAUGUUUGAAAAUUUCCUUAAUAAAUAAAUAAAAUCCCUUCACCAGGAAGGGGUCUGCUAA